CCUACGGGCGGCAGCAGUGAGGAAUAUUGGUCAAUGGUCGGGAGACUGAACCAGCCAAGCCGCGUGAGGGAGGAAGUAUUUCGGUAUGUAAACUUCUAUCAGCAGGGAAGAAAAUGACGGUACCUGACUAAGAAGCCCCGGCUAACUACGUGCCAGCAGCCGCGGUAAUACGUAGGGGGCAAGCGUUAUCCGGAUUUACUGGGUGUAAAGGGAGCGUAGGCGGCGAUGCAAGUCAGAAGUGAAAGCCCGGGGCUCAACUCCGGGACUGCUUUUGAAACUGUGUUGCUAGAUUGCAGGAGAGGUAAGUGGAAUUCCUAGUGUAGCGGUGAAAUGCGUAGAUAUUAGGAGGAACACCAGUGGCGAAGGCGGCUUACUGGACUGUAAAUGACGCUGAGGCUCGAAAGCGUGGGGAGCAAACAGGAUUAGAUACCCGAGUAGUC
rnacentral:rRNA from 1 species